CAUAACCUUAUCAUUAUCUCAUUCUCGAGAUGGGCUGUGAGAAGCUUCUUGUAGUAUUUAUUAUCUGCAUGGUGAUGUCACCAUAUCAUUGCUUUAGUUUGUCGAGAAUGAGAAGAUCGGGACCUCCCGCAUGCCCUCCAGGUGUACUUGAAGUGUACUGUUUAGUCGACCCUUGUGCGACUGUGACGUGUCUAAACGGUUUUGCAUGCAGGACAAAAGUGUGGAAGCUGUGAUGCUGAGUGCGUCCGACGCAAGGACCGGGGCAACUAGCCCAUGUAACCAAUGACCUAUCAAGAAUAGCUCCGAUAGUUAAACCACAUGGACCCGUCGAGCAGUUAUAA